UGGGGAAUUUUGGACAAUGGGCGCAAGCCUGAUCCAGCCAUGCCGCGUGCGGGAAGAAGGCCUUCGGGUUGUAAACCGCUUUUGUCAGGGAAGAAACGCUCUGGGCUAAUACCCUGGGGUAAUGACGGUACCUGAAGAAUAAGCACCGGCUAACUACGUGCCAGCAGCCGCGGUAAUACGUAGGGUGCAAGCGUUAAUCGGAAUUACUGGGCGUAAAGCGUGCGCAGGCGGUUAUGCAAGACAGAUGUGAAAUCCCCGGGCUCAACCUGGGAACUGCAUUUGUGACUGUAUAGCUAGAGUACGGUAGAGGGGGAUGGAAUUCCGCGUGUAGCAGUGAAAUGCGUAGAUAUGCGGAGGAACACCGAUGGCGAAGGCAAUCCCCUGGACCUGUACUGACGCUCAUGCACGAAAGCUAGGGUAGCGAAGAGGAUUAGAUACCCCCGUAGUCCCUGAGCGGGCUGGCAAGGCGCAU
rnacentral:rRNA from 1 species